GCUCCUCUCCUCCCUCACUCUCUCUUAGUCUCAUCUCACUGUCUCUCUUUCUCACUCUCUUCCCGUUUCUGCACACACCGAUCACUCUCAUCUCAUUGCACCGAUCAUCAUCGCACAGCACAGCCGAUCUACUUCAUUCACAGGUGAUCUCGCAAGUGAUCUCUGAUUUUUUUCAUCAUCGCACAGCCGAUUUUUUUCAUCGCACAGCCGAUCACUCUCUUUCUCAUCUCAUCGCACCGAUCAUCAUCGCACAGCCGAUCUGCUUCACAGGGUUAAUCAACCAAAUGCAUGGAAUUAGAAUUGGAAUAUGUGAAAGUUGAAUUGGAUGUGAUUCAUGAAGAUGAAGUUUGAUAUCUUAGAAGUGUUUUAAUUUUAUUUCAUGGGUUUGUAUUGAAUGAAGUUUAAGUUUGACAACAAUUUUU